UACGAAGGGGGCUAGCGUUGCUCGGAAUCGCUGGGCGUAAAGGGUGCGUAGGCGGCGCGGUAAGUCGGGUGUGAAAUCUCGGAGCUUAACUCCGAAACUGCAUUCGAUACUGCCGUGCUUGAGGACUGGAGAGGAGACUGGAAUUUACGGUGUAGCGGUGAAAUGCGUAGAUAUCGUAAGGAAGACCAGUGGCGAAGGCGGGUCUCUGGACAGUUCCUGACGCUGAUGCACGAAGGCCAGGGGAGCAAACGGG
rnacentral:rRNA from 1 species